rnacentral:rRNA from 1 species
UACGUAGGGUGCGAGCGUUGUCCGGAAUUACUGGGCGUAAAGAGCUCGUAGGUGGUUUGUCGCGUUGUUCGUGAAAACUCACAACUCAAUUGUGGGCGUGCGGGCGAUACGGGCAGACUGGAGUACUGCAGGGGAGACUGGAAUUCCUGGUGUAGCGGUGGAAUGCGCAGAUAUCAGGAGGAACACCGGUGGCGAAGGCGGCAUCCUGGACCAACACUGACGCUGAUGAGCGAAAGCCAGGGGAGCAAACGGG